rnacentral:rRNA from 1 species
UACGUAGGGACCGAGCGUUGUCCGGAUUCAUUGGGCGUAAAGAGCUCGUAGGCGGCUGUUCAAGUCGAACGUGAAAACUCGGAGCUCAACUCCGAGCCUGCGUUCGAUACUGGACGGCUAGAGUCUGGUAGGGGGAUCUGGAAUUCCUGGUGUAGCGGUGGAAUGCGCAGAUAUCAGGAGGAACACCUGUGGUGUAGACAGCUUACUGGACCAUCACUGACGCUGAGACACGAAAGCGUGGGUAGCAAACAGG